rnacentral:rRNA from 1 species
UACGAGGGGUGCAAGCGUUGCUCGGAAUUAUUGGGCGUAAAGGGUAGGUAGGUGGUCUCAUUUGUCUGAUGUGAAAUCCUUGGGCUUAACUCAAGAAGUGCGUCAGAAACGGUGAGACUGGAGUCUUGGAGAGGGUCGUGGAAUUCCCGGUGUAGCGGUGAAAUGCGUAGAUAUCGAGAGGAACACCUGCGGCGAAGGCGGGUUGCUGGGCCGACACUGACGCUGAGGCGCGAAGCCAGGGAGCGAACGGG